AUUGAACGCUGGCGGCAGGCCUAACACAUGCAAGUCGAGCGGAUGUAGGGAGCUUGCUCCUGGAUUCAGCGGCGGACGGGUGAGUAAUGCCUAGGAAUCUGCCUGGUAGUGGGGGAUAACGUCCGGAAACGGGCGCUAAUACCGCAUACGUCCUGAGGGAGAAAGUGGGGGAUCUUCGGACCUCACGCUAUCAGAUGAGCCUAGGUCGGAUUGGCUAGUUGGUGGGGUAAAGGCCUACCAAGGCGACGAUCCGUAACUGGUCUGAGAGGAUGAUCAGUCACACUGGAACUGAGACACGGUCCAGACUCCUACGGGAGGCAGCAGUGGGGAAUAUUGGACAAUGGGCGAAAGCCUGAUCCAGCCAUGCCGCGUGUGUGAAGAAGGUCUUCGGAUUGUAAAGCACUUUAAGUUGGGAGGAAGGGCAGUAAGUUAAUACCUUGCUGUUUUGACGUUACCAACAGAAUAAGCACCGGCUAACUUCGUG
rnacentral:rRNA from 1 species